GAAACAAAAAAUUUUUUCUUUAUGUUACAUUGGCGUAUGCUAAAGUUGUAAAUGUGUUUGAUAAUGAUGCAAUUAUUGCGACACCGAUUUCUUACAUUUCCAUACAAUGGCAGUCAAACUUGUAAGAGGCGCUUCAUCAUUUUUCCUUCCUGUGGCAAUGCCCUCGUGUCAGUGAAACUCAUAAACUUUAUUAUUCCUAAACAACUAAUAUUUAUUCCAUUAAACAAUAAAAUUUUCAUAUUUCAACUUAUCUCGUCCAUAUUCGCUUAAAUUGUUCAGUGCAUUUCCUGACCUCCCCUACUCUAAAUCAGUUUUAUAUAUUUAUUUAUCAUCGAUAAAUUAUCAAUAAAUUGACAAUAUAUCGUUUGACCAGUCGUUAUCGUUUGAAGUUUCCUCGAUAAUCGCCGCGAAAGCGCGUCCUUCGCAGUGCAUAAUGAAAAAAAAAAAGAAAAUCUCGCGGAUAAUCAUGCGCGAGAGCGCGCAUUAUCGCGCGGUAUGGAUGAGCUUACAAUUAUAUUCUCGCGUUAUCGGGUUUGCGCCGUCGCUCUCCGUGAGGAUGCAUACACGUAAGCGUGGUGCGGGUGAUACGCACAGCCACGCAACGUGAGAUACGCGUGAGAUACCUAGGUGUCCCGGCGCGCAAAGAAAAGAGGCAGAAGAGAAGCGUAUCGUCGCCGCGUGCGGGAGCGAUAGGGGGCCCAGUUUCCAGUAACGUGCCGUCAUCCGAAGUUUCGUGACACGCGCGCAAUAUCGUUCUCGCGACGAACGCGCGGUGGUCCGAUUAUCAUCGCCGCCGGUGUUCACCUCGUGGUCGCCGAAGCGCGCGUGCGCGCACGGACACACGCAUGCACAUCCUCGACAUCCUCGACAAUAAGAAACGACACAACAAUUUCGAAUGAGAUUGGGUUGCUAUAAUGAUAACAAUGGAAGAUACGUGCAAAUCCUUGAGAACGAUUUAUCAAAUUGUUGAUGUGAUCAAAUUUGUGAAAUUAGAAACGUGAUUGUUUUUCCACUUAUUUGAAGAAUGGGUCUGGAUAUCUCCACGGCACUCAAUCGUAUUAAUGCUCUCCUGUAUACAACGUGCAACUAAGAAAUGUGCCCAAGGCCAAUCGCAGAAUGAAAAAUAAAAGAUAAAUAACGCGGUAGUGCCCCGACACACUUCAUGUAUAAUACACUGUCGACUGUCGUUUCUCAAAUAUUGGCUGCAAUCGCGUUUAAUUACAAACGCGUCGCGUGUAACGAGUGGAAA